GAUGAAGAACGCAGCGAAUUGCGAUAUGUAAUGUGAAUUGCAGAAUUCAGUGAAUCAUCGAAUCUUUGAACGCACCUUGCACCCUCUGGUAUUCCGGAGGGUAUGCCUGUUUGAGUGUCAUUAUCACCCCUCAAGCUCAGCUUGGUGUUGGGGCCGGCCCGUCACAGGGCCGCCCCUAAAAGCAGUGGCGGUGCCAUCUGGCUCUACGCGUAGUAAUACUCCUCGCGACAGAGUCCCGGUGGUGUCCUGCCAGAACCCCCCAUCUUUUUAAUGAUUGACCUCGGAUCAGGUAGGGAUACCCGCUGAACUUAAGCAUAUCAAUAAGCGGAGGA
rnacentral:misc_RNA from 1 species